rnacentral:lncRNA from 1 species
CAUCUCUCAGAAGUGCAGGUCAUCAGCAAUUCGUAGAGCAGCUCUAACCACAAUCAAGCUCGCAAGGACACUCAUGAGAAGUUUUUCUAUUUGAGAAACACAAACAGCUCCAUCGAUCUUACUAACACCCUAGAGUAAUUGUUGGCCCCAGGCUUGGAGCAGGAGCUUGGGUAAUCACGGGAGAUGCGAAGCAGCGAGUGCGACAGUGCCAACGAAGUGCUUAAUCCAUGCAGGCUGGGAGAAGCAGAAGGAGAUGUUGCUCAUCCAGUUCCACCUUGUUCGUUUCAUGUCCCGUGCUGUUGCCCAGCUGGGAUCCUUGAGGACAAACACAUCACUGUGUCCUGGCCCCUCCCCAGGGCUGUGCAUGCACUGGCCAGUGAAGCAAGAGCAGCGCUCCCUGUGACCGAAUGCUACAGCUCUUCAGCGGGGAUAACUGAGGAUCGUAUUGGGGAGAGAAGCAAAGAAGGGCGGGGGAGCGGGAGGCGGUGAAAAAGAGAGGGGGACGCCCUGCGCAUGCGUGCCAGCGCCCAUGCAAAUCUGCUGUACAUCCAGAGAGCAAAGUGGGAUGAUCUGUCACUACACCUGCAGCACCACGUUCGGAGGACAGCUCCUGCUCGCAGCUUCUAGACCCAGGUAAACCCCCCCCAAAACCGAAACAAUCCCCUCCCCCCACAAC